UCAUGUGAUGAAAUCUUUUCCAGUUCUGCUACUGAAUCCUAAGCGAUGAGCAUUUUUUUUUCCUGAUGA
rnacentral:snoRNA from 1 species